CUCUCUCUCUCUGUGUCUCCUGUUUCUCUGGCUCCUCCCACUCUUCCCACUCUGGCAGGUAGCUGACUGUCCUUUCCAGCUGCACCUACUUACCAGCUGAGAGAGAAGCAGUAUAAAAGCUGAGCAGAACGGUCAGAAGGGGAGAACUUCUCUCCAGAGCAUGUCCUUCGUCCAGCCCUGCCCAGCUCAGGUUGUUGAAGUCUUUUGGAGUGCUGUAUGGUUGUUAUCUUCAUUAAUCUGAAGAACUGUUGACUAACUCUCUGUUGCUGCCAGAAGCCCUGGAUGAAUCAGAGAUCAUGGCACACAUUCAGAUGAGCGUCAGUGUAAAGUCACUUACUGAGUCGACGGUGUUGAGGACGUGGACCGCAGCGACGAGACGGACACGCUUUCACUCCUGAGAACAAACACCAGAAUCAGGAGACAGAGGAUUAUGUUGGGUAUCAAAAACAGUUGUUUCUGCUGUGAACAAGAAUCAGAUAAAAUUCAAAUGAUACGCAACCCUACAGAUGAAGGAGAUUCAUGACGUCUGCUGAUGGAUCUCACCUGCUUGGGCUCUUCACGGCCGGCUGGAUCACUGGACUCUUCACACUGCUGCGGAAUCAAUAAAAA